rnacentral:lncRNA from 1 species
AACAGAUAAGUUGUGACAAUACCUCUUGCUUCUAAAGAAUGUAUUCCUGUACAAUGCCACAGAUUUUCUUUUCUUAAGAACACUACCUGAUUCUUUCCUUGUGCUAGGGAUGUAGGGCAUGCUGGGGUCUCCUGUCAGUAUUCAGGUGUGCUCAACUGACCGAGUAUUAGGUUGUCCUCCACCUCCAGGCUGCAUCACUUGGAGGAGCUAGCUAGUGGCCGGGGUUUUUGCAAUCUUGGUUCAAGAUGUGCUCUGUCAAGUUCAUCUCUUCUCACACCUUCCCUCUCAAACUCUUUCUUUCUCUGUUACAAAGGUAUCUGUGAGUCUUUCCCAGCCCACUCCCCAACUCUAGACCUCCAAACCAACUGGAGAGAAUCACUAACCUUGAGCGGAUGACCCAGUUCUGCAUCGUGCAAAUGGAGCCCUAGCUGAAGGGCAGUUCAUACAAAGUGCAGUGGUCUUCAACACCCUGAGCCUUCCUGAAGAACCAGUGCAGACAUUCUUCUUUCAGGGUGCAAGGCCCCUUGGGGCCUUUCCAGCUCCCUGCCCCUAAGCAUACCUCAACACAGAACCACAGGAUCUCUGCAGCACACCUGCCGUGCAGCUUGGUCUGUUGGCAUUGAACAAACAGCUGUUGCUAGAGACAGUUGGGCUUCCAGGCAGUGGACUGGAGUGUCCAUCAGGUGGCAGUACUUCUUAGGAACCUAGGGCAGGAAGCAAUACUUCAGAAUUGAAUGUGUGUAAAUAGUUGCUUUGCAUUGCAAUUGCUCUUUCCUUCUUGGCCCCAGCACAGAUCAGUUUUAUACAUCUGUAUGAUCAAGCACACAUAAUUUUAUCCCACACAAAUGAACGUAGAGUGCUCGUCGGUUAUAAACCCUCAAACAGCUUGACGAGCCCCACAGAUGUGCCACACCUGUGCAUGGCUCCCUCUGCCCUAACUUCACUCCUGGGAUGCACCUGCACAUUUGCACAUGACACAGCGAGCCAAAGGCAGUGUGCGACCAUCACCUGGGCUGCAGUCACUUGUAGUAUCCAAAGAUAAGUCUGCAUUUGAAUUUCUUGAUUUUCAAGGUAAGCAUUUUUUUUGGGGGGGGGGCUGGUUGUUUUGAAAAUCGCAUCAUGCCUAGAACCUGAAAUUAUAUUAGUAAGAACCAAUUGUUUGUAUUUCCAUGUUUUCCUUUGCUCUGCUCUUUUUAAAUUGUUAAUUCUAAGAAUUUCAAAUUGCAUCCACUGAAAAGAAGGAUAUUAAAAUGUUCUAAAACG